GCGAGCGUAGUUCAAUGGUAAAAUAUCUCCUUGCCAAGGAGAAGAUACGGGUCCGAUUCCCACCGCUCGCC
rnacentral:tRNA from 1 species